rnacentral:rRNA from 1 species
UAAUACGGAGGGUGCAAGCGUUAAUCGGAAUUACUGGGCGUAAAGCGCACGCAGGCGGUUUGUUAAGUCAGAUGUGAAAUCCCCGGGCUCAACCUGGGAACUGCAUUUGAAACUGGCAAGCUAGAGUCUCGUAGAGGGGGGUAGAAUUCCAGGUGUAGCGGUGAAAUGCGUAGAGAUCUGGAGGAAUACCGGUGGCGAAGGCGGCCCCCUGGACGAAGACUGACGCUCAGGUGCGAAAGCGUGGGGAGCAAACAGGAUUAGAUACCCUGGUAGUCCACGCUGUAAACGAUGUCGAUUUGGAGGUUGUGCCCUUGAGGCGUGGCUUCCGGAGCUAACGCGUUAAGUCGACCGCCUGGGGAGUACGGCCACAAGGUUA